UCAGACGUACCCUCCUCCAUUUUUUUCGAAAUUACAAAAUCAAGCUUCACCUCCACCGAUCCACCUCCGGUCGUCCACCCAAUUCCAUAAUUAGACGUUAGAGCAGUCGUAUUUAAGGUAAAUGAAGCUCUAUUUCGAACUUAUUUAUAUAAACUUAUUAGAGGACAGAAGUUCGGGCCCUCGCUCGAAGAAAACUGGAGACGUUGCAGUUGCAGAUGCAGACAUGACCUUUUUCUGAUGAACUUUUAAUAGAAGUAGGGAUUUAUAGCUAAUUCUUAGGCUAUCCCUUCGGGGAUGUAGCAUAGUUCCCCUAGUUCGAAAUCGAAUCUAUAUUCUGUCUUUAACCUUCGUUCGAACGAUGGAAAGAGCCUUUACGCAGGACUGGUAUUAUAAGUUAUCAGAGAAGGAAGAAAACUUAUAAUACCAGUCCUAAUAUCUUAUAAGUUUUCCAAAAUUUGGGAGGAUUUCUCUUUUAUUUUAGUAUUCAAAAACAUGUGUACCUUCGAAUCUCGACUUCUUAAUCAUUAAAGUAUUUAACAUUUCGUAUCAACAGUACCUUAGAAAUAACAUUUUAUCUUUUAUUUACCUUAAAAUAUAUCAGGUGAACAAAGGAGACAUGAAUUACCUCGUAGAGAUAUGUUAGUACGGUCCAAUGGUGAUGGCAAUUGUUAUUUGGUGGGGUAGGCCAUAGACGAGAAGUAAUUGUAGGGUGCCCCACCUUGGAGUGGCCCCUGCCUCUUUUCUUCGCCUCUAGCCCUCCACAUGGGGGGGCUGCUCUCCAUCCUUAUUCCAAAAAUAUUCCCUCCCUCGUGCCUUGUAUUACAAACCUUAUGCCUACCAUAUACUACAUGCCAAUUGCAAGAUUUAAAAAAAGCAUAAUUUGCAAUUUGAACUAAAAAUAGUUUAAGCAUGAAAUUUUAUCACGUGGUAUGUUUGAGUCAAUCAAUAGAGAAGUGUUCGUUCUUGUGAAAAUAUAUUCCUGCCCUCAAAUUUUUCGUCAUUCAAACACCAGAACGCUAAUUAAAAAUUCAUAUCAUCUGCAUAUCCAAAUUCCCCAAACUCUACUGGUAUUAUAAGUUUUCUUCCUUCUCUGAUAUCUUACUAUAAAAGGCUCGAAGAGCUAUGGUUGAUAAGAAGAGUUGGAAUUCACUCGAUUAUUAGGAGCCAUUGUUAGAACGAAACAUUAUGCCACUGUUGUUUUUAUGUGUAGCCAGAUGGAAUUAUUAGGAGUUCCCCAUUAUGUUUAUUCUUUGAGCAUCUUGAUUAAUGUCAAUUAGGUCAUAUUGAUUUUGGGUUUUUUGUUUUGGGGAAAAUGCUGAAGUUAGGGGUUGAGCCUAGUGUUGUAACUUUGUGUACUUUGAUUAAUGGGAUUUGUAGGCAAAGUAAGAUUUCUCAAGUUGUGAAAUUGUUUGAUGAAAUGGUUGAAAAAAGGUUAUCAACUUAAUUUAAUUGUUUAGUUCAUGCUAUGUGUAAUUCGGGCCAGUAGAGGGAGGCAACAAGGUUUUUGAAUAAUUAAGCGGCAAACCGUUUGUUUAUAUGUUUAUAUCUGGAAAUGAAGUUCUCAGAAUUUUGAAAUUGCAUGGGAUUCGAGUUGAAUGAAUUUAUUAUAAUGUUUACUGAGAUCACAAGCUUAGUUUCUUCAUUUAAUGUCAUCUUUUUUUUUUUGCUUUGUUUUAUUGCAGAAACAAGCGACAUUGAAAUUGAUUUGGCUUACCUUAGCUUCCUUUCCCGUAAGCUUUAACAUUUUCUUUUUAGAAUUUAAUUUAAUUUGAUUUUCUUUUAUUUUAGUUUGUACAACAUUUUGCAAUUAAAUGCAGGAUUAGCAGAUUUUCUAGAUGAUAAUUUGUGUCCUUAUCUCAAAAGUCAAAACAUAGUUAUGAUUAUUGAUUCCUCUGAAAAAAAAGUGAACUUCCAAAAUAUUAGGGGGAAAGAAAAACUUAAAUUUUGAUUAAAUUAUGGUAAUGUUAUGCCAAAAUUGUUUAUCUACUAGUAGGAAAAUAAUGGGGUUGAGAAAUAGAGAUGCUUCUAUUUAUGAAUUUGGAUUGGAUUUAUGCAGUUUGAAUUUCAUUCAUGGUAAAGAAGUCUGUCUCUGUGUUCUUAGCGGAUGAAUGAUCAUAGAAACAUUUGUUUUCUGAUUAAAAUUGAUUGAUUUAUUUUUUAUAGAGCAUGUACUUUGCAUUUAAUUGAAGUUUGGAUGAAAUUAGCCCUAAAAAGGAGCUCUUAACUUUAAAUAUCGAAUUAAAAUAAUCAUUUUAUGUACCACCUGUUAUUAAAAAAUGUCCAUAAUAUAUUUUUAUAUUAUUUCUCAAAUUUAAUAUUUAACGCGAUUGAAUUUUUGAUAUUCUUUUAUUAUACAAUAUUACCAUUUGAUAUUAAUAUGAUAAUAUCUAAUUUUUCAAGUAAAAUUUUACAAAAUGGUAUUUUAUUAAAAUUCGUUAAGUUGGUUUAUUAAUAAGAUAUUGUAAAACAGAUUUUUUAAAAAACGGGUCGGGCCGGGCUAGGCUCGGGUUUAGGAAUUUUUUCUCGGGCUGGGCUUGGACAAAUUUUUAGGCCCAUAUUUUAGGCCGAGCCGGGCCCUGGUCUAAAAAAUGGGCCUAAAUUUUUUUGGGCCUAGCCCAUGAUCAUCUCUAAUGUUGGUUUAGAUUACGGGUGGAUCACACUGUGUAUAGUAUAGAGAGUUAUUAAAGAUGGAGGUUUAGAAUGAUGUUUUAGCAAAAUAAUAAUUAAUGGAAGGUCAAGAUCGGUGCUCCAUCAACAUGUCCUUGAACAUCUCAAAAAUUUCUUAACAUUGAUUAUCUCACACAAAUUACACAUUCUAUUGCAAGAGUUUCGUCAUAGGCAAAGCUAUUUUAGAAAAUCCAUUCACAAACCUUCCAUAUUAACCUGGCAAGCCAAGGAAGCUCCAAAUCUCAAAUACAAUUUUUGGCAACUUUCACUAAAGGAUAGCUUCAAUCCUUUUGGGAUCCACACGGAUUCCCUCAGCCGAAAUAAUGUGCCUUGGAAAGAACAAUUUGGAUAACCAAAACUUACACUUACUAAGCUUCCUGAAAUGUUGUUUCUCAUGCAACACUUGCAAUACGAUUCUCAGAUGCUAAUCAUGCUCAACCUCUAACCUCAAGUAUGUUAGGAUAUCAUCGAUCAACAUUAGUACAAAUUGAUCCAAAUAAGGUAAAGGUUAUGAAUUGAUUAAAUGAAUGAAUUUAAUGAUUAAUUAGCUACUGGUUUUCUAGUAUAUUAUUGAUUUAGGUGCUGACCCAAAUGCCACAAAUCAGCUGUAAAGGCAAAGAACGAUUGUACCUAUGGUUUGAAUCGAUACAGUGUAAGGGAUCUAACUAGUUUGGAUUCAUAAAAUAAUUAUAAUUUCAACGAUUUGUUUGAACUCAUAAGUGGGCGUUUGGGGCUGGUUUAAUCGUAAAUUGAUUGAAUUUAUACUAAAUUUUGGUUCAGGUUCAUUUAAGGAAUUAUUAAGGAAAAUUGGAUGAUUCGCUAGUGUGCUACGAGGAAGCGAAAAAUAAGGUGUGAGUCCUACACUCAUAAAAUUGUUUGAAAAUGUUAAAUAUCAUGUUAUAUAUGAUAAAUUAGCUUGCUGAUUGGAUUGUCUGAAUAGCCAAAUUAUUGAUUUUGUGAGUGGCCGAACCAGGUAUGUUUCGAGCCUUAAAAGAUUAGUAUGUUGGCAAAAUUGCUAGUUUGAUAAUAUGUAUGUUUGAUUGAGUUUGUAAUUGCAUAUUUGAGUUAUAGGAUAUGAGAAUGUUUGACUGAAUGGUAUAAUGUGUUGAGAUAUUAAGCUUAUGUAUGAUUUAAACACAUGAGAUAUUUGUUAUAUUGUGUACUAAAAAGGGUGCUAUUUAUGCACAAUGAAAAUCUAUAAAGUAUAUGAAAUUGAACGAUAUUCAUUGAUAUCAACACAAUGGUAAUUUGAAAGAUUGGAACACUAUUUCCAUUUAUUGAAAGUAUGUGAUUAUUGAGGACAUGCUGAGCAUGUUAAAUGAAUGUGAAAAGUAUUAAGAUAUGAUUAUGUAUGAGAUUGUGUGACAUAUUGCAUAUGCAUUAGGUUGGGAUUUUGUGGUUGAUGGAGGAGUUCUGUGGAGUACCGACGACAUAUUAAGUCCGCAUUAUUCGUAAUCAGUGCACAACACCUAGAGUACCAAGGGGAUUAGCAAUUUUAUAGCAUAUUAUAUGUUAUUGGUGAUUGAUUAUUUGGUGGUUUUACCAUAUCGAGCUAUGAUCAUAAUGUUUUGGAGUUUGGCAGACGGGUUCUCGGGAACUCGUGGUGUGUAGCGGAUGGUAUAGGUAGGAAUCUUUUUGCAUUGCAUCAUGUGCAUGCCAUAUUUGAAUGUCGUUCAUUUAUACUACGCAUUAUAUUUUGUUGUAUUGAAUGGCAUCGAAAUUAAUGAUUAUUACUCGAAUGAAUGAUG
rnacentral:lncRNA from 1 species